ensembl:lncRNA
UCUCAUCUUUCUUGUCGAGGUAUCUAAGGCAACUUUGAAGGGAAUUCAGUUCCUCAGGCAUCCUAAACCUGCAAACUUGCGUCUAGUUGUUAAGCUCUCUGAACAUGCAUGAACCUCACCCAUAUUUCCUUAGGCCAAUUCCUCCCUCCUCUUAUUGCCCUCUCUCUAUAUUUUUUCUGUCUUUUAAAAUUAAUAUGUCCCUGUAGAAAAGCAUCAGGUCUUCUCUUGCCCCGAAUUCAAAUUCUUCAAGGUUCUCAGAGUAUUGGAACAAGCACAUAUCCUAGUACUGAGCUACGCCCACUUCUUCUUUCACAGGUUAUACUAAAUCAGGACGUGGUGUGAACACUGAUCAGCCAGAGACUGACACAAAGAGGUCCCCAAAGAAGGGCAAAUUGGACAGAAGCAGGAGCCAAGUGAGAAAAACAGCAUUUUUAGGUCUGCUUUGAUUUACCUUUUCUUAUAGUGAACAGAAAUGAGAACUUUAUAGCUAAGUGGAACCACACGACUUAGAGGAGAAGAUGGACAACAGAAAGGCAUCUGUUAGGUGCUGUCGUAGGUACUCACAUUUGCUGGGGGCCUGCUGUGUGCCAAGCUCUGAAUUUGGACUUCACUCUGUUAGCAGGUGCCCAGAGGAAGCUCAGAGAUAUUGAUAUUCAGGAUCCCUUCAUAGAGGAGGGACUGGUUCUGCAUAAUCUAGUCAUUACUCACUGAGUAUAAUUAGACAUAAAUUGAACAUCCUUGACUUCUUGGAGCUUGAAUUCUAUAGAUUUGCAUUUUAUCUGUAAGUCUAUGGUCCACUUUGAGUCAUUUUGUAAAAGGUAUGGACCAAGGUGAAAUUUAUUUUGCGUAGGGACAUCCAGUGUCAUCUAUUGAAAAGACUAUCAUUUCUUCCUGAAUUGCCUUUGCACCUUUGUCAAAAAACAGUCGUCACAUAUGUGUGAGUCUGCUUCUGGAAUCUUCGUCUGCUCCAUUGAUCUAUGUGAUUAUUCUUUUGCCCGUAACUCACUGUCUUGAUUACUGUAGCUUAUCGUAAUCCUUGGGAUCAGCCAGUGUGAGUCCUGCGGCUUUCUUCCUUUCCAAAAUCGUUUUGGCUAGUUUAGUUCCUUUCUUCUUUCAUAUAAAUAUUACAAACAACUUACCAAUAUUAGUAAAACAUCUUCCUGGGAUUUUCACUGUGAUUUCUUUGAAUUUCUAAAUCAGUUUGGGGAGAAUUGAC